UACGUAGGGUGCGAGCGUUAAUCGGAAUUACUGGGCGUAAAGCGUGCGCAGGCGGCGCGUUAAGACAGGUGUGAAAGCCCCCGAGCUUAACUUGGGAAUUGCGCUUGUGACUGGCGUGCUGGAGUGUGGCAGAGGGAGGUGGAAUUCCACGUGUAGCAGUGAAAUGCGUAGAGAUGUGGAGGAACACCGAUGGCGAAGGCAGCCCCCCUGGGUCAAGAUUGACGCUCAUGCACGAAAGCGUGGGGAGCAAACAGG
rnacentral:rRNA from 1 species